rnacentral:rRNA from 1 species
GAAUUUUGGACAAUGGGCGAAAGCCUGAUCCAGCAAUGCCGCGUGCAGGAUGAAGGCCUUCGGGUUGUAACCUGCUUUUGUACGGAACGAAAAGCUUUUGGUUAAUAACCUGGAGUCAUUACGGUACCACCAGAAGACGCACCGGCUAACUACGUUCCUGCAGCCGCGGUAAUACGUAGGGUGCAAGCGUUCAUCGGAAUUACUGGGCGUAAAGCGUGCGCAGGCGGUUUUGUAAGACAGAGGUGAAAUCCCCGGGCUCAACCUGGGAACUGCCUUUGUGACUGCAAGGCUAGAGUACGGCAGAGGGGGGUGGAAUUCCGCGUGUAGCAGUGAAAUGCGUAGAUAUGCGGAGGAACACCGAUGGCGAAGGCAACCCCCUGGGCCUGUACUGACGCUCAUGCACGAAAGCGUGGGGAGCAAACA